UGGGGAAUUUUGGACAAUGGGGGAAACCCUGAUCCAGCCAUCCCGCGUGUGCGAUGAAGGCCUUCGGGUUGUAAAGCACUUUUGGCAGGAAAGAAACGUCAUGGGUUAAUACCCCGUGAAACUGACGGUACCUGCAGAAUAAGCACCGGCUAACUACGUGCCAGCAGCCGCGGUAAUACGUAGGGUGCAAGCGUUAAUCGGAAUUACUGGGCGUAAAGCGUGCGCAGGCGGUUCGGAAAGAAAGAUGUGAAAUCCCAGAGCUCAACUUUGUACCUGCAUUUUUAACUACCGGGCUAGAGUGUGUCAGAGGGAGGUGGAAUUCCGCGUGUAGCAGUGAAAUGCGUAGAUAUGCGGAGGAACACCGAUGGCGAAGGCAGCCUCCUGGGAUAACACUGACGCUCAUGCACGAAAGCGUGGGGAGCAAACAGG
rnacentral:rRNA from 1 species